UACGUAGGGUGCAAGCGUUUAAUCGGAAUUACUGGGCGUAAAGCGUGCGCAGGCGGUUGUGCAAGACAGAUGUGAAAUCCCCGGGCUUAACCUGGGAAUUGCAUUUGUGACUGCACGGCUAGAGUGUGUCAGAGGGGGUAGAAUUCCAACGUGUAGCAGUGAAAUGCGUAGAUAUGUGGAGGAAUACCGAUGGCGAAGGCAGCCCCCUGGGAUAACACUGACGC
rnacentral:rRNA from 1 species